rnacentral:rRNA from 1 species
AAAUUGAAGAGUUUGAUCAUGGCUCAGAUUGAACGCUGGCGGCAGGCCUAACACAUGCAAGUCGAGCGGUAACAUUUCAAAAGCUUGCUUUUGAAGAUGACGAGCGGCGGACGGGUGAGUAAUGCCUGGGAAUAUGCCUUGAUGUGGGGGAUAACCAUUGGAAACGAUGGCUAAUACCGCAUAAUGCCUACGGGCCAAAGAGGGGGAUCUUCGGACCUCUCGCGUCAAGAUUAGCCCAGGUGGGAUUAGCUAGUUGGUGAGGUAAUGGCUCACCAAGGCGACGAUCCCUAGCUGGUCUGAGAGGAUGAUCAGCCACACUGGAACUGAGACACGGUCCAGACUCCUACGGGAGGCAGCAGUGGGGAAUAUUGCACAAUGGGCGCAAGCCUGAUGCAGCCAUGCCGCGUGUGUGAAGAAGGCCUUCGGGUUGUAAAGCACUUUCAGUCGUGAGGAAGGUUCAUACGUUAAUAGCGUAUGGAUUUGACGUUAGCGACAGAAGAAGCACCGGCUAACUCCGUGCCAGCAGCCGCGGUAAUACGGAGGGUGCGAGCGUUAAUCGGAAUUACUGGGCGUAAAGCGCAUGCAGGUGGUUUGUUAAGUCAGAUGUGAAAGCCCGGGGCUCAACCUCGGAAUUGCAUUUGAAACUGGCAGACUAGAGUACUGUAGAGGGGGGUAGAAUUUCAGGUGUAGCGGUGAAAUGCGUAGAGAUCUGAAGGAAUACCGGUGGCGAAGGCGGCCCCCUGGACAGAUACUGACACUCAGAUGCGAAAGCGUGGGGAGCAAACAGGAUUAGAUACCCUGGUAGUCCACGCCGUAAACGAUGUCUACUUGGAGGUUGUGGCCUUGAGCCGUGGCUUUCGGAGCUAACGCGUUAAGUAGACCGCCUGGGGAGUACGGUCGCAAGAUUAAAACUCAAAUGAAUUGACGGGGGCCCGCACAAGCGGUGGAGCAUGUGGUUUAAUUCGAUGCAACGCGAAGAACCUUACCUACUCUUGACAUCCAGAGAAGCCAGCGGAGACGCAGGUGUGCCUUCGGGAACUCUGAGACAGGUGCUGCAUGGCUGUCGUCAGCUCGUGUUGUGAAAUGUUGGGUUAAGUCCCGCAACGAGCGCAACCCUUAUCCUUGUUUGCCAGCGAGUAAUGUCGGGAACUCCAGGGAGACUGCCGGUGAUAAACCGGAGGAAGGUGGGGACGACGUCAAGUCAUCAUGGCCCUUACGAGUAGGGCUACACACGUGCUACAAUGGCGCAUACAGAGGGCUGCCAACCAGCGAUGGUGAGCGAAUCCCAAAAAGUGCGUCGUAGUCCGGAUUGGAGUCUGCAACUCGACUCCAUGAAGUCGGAAUCGCUAGUAAUCGUGGAUCAGAAUGCCACGGUGAAUACGUUCCCGGGCCUUGUACACACCGCCCGUCACACCAUGGGAGUGGGCUGCAAAAGAAGUGGGUAGUUUAACCUUUCGAGGAGGACGCUCACCACUUUGUGGUUCAUGACUGGGGUGAAGUCGUAACAAGGUAGCGCUAGGGGAACCUGGCGCUGGAUCACCUCCUUA